rnacentral:tRNA from 1 species
UCUCUGGUGGUCCAGUGGUUAAGACUCUGAGCUUCCACUGCAGGAGGCCCGGGUUUGAUCCCUGGUUGGGGAA